AUCAUUUUGUCUCUUCUUCUGGGAUGGUCCCUGCACUUUGAGGUCUUUCCAUCAAACUUCUCAAUUAAUACUAGGGCAGAAAUUCCUCACUGGGGUUCCGGGGUUCCAGACCUGUUCUCAACUGGGCCCAGGUUGUCUGAACACACCACUGCCUCACAUUGGAAGUCUUUUCUUUUUAUAUUGGAGCUGCUAAUGGAGGGAAAGAAUCCCUGUGCUCUAAACUGCAGGAAAAAGAAGGAAAGACACAAGAAAUAUCAUGAAGUAAUAGCCAGCAAAGGCGAGUAAUACAAGGCAGGAAUUCAAGCAAGGCAGAAACUUGGGGACAGAAAUCAUGGAGAGAAGCUGCUUACUGCUGAGACCAUGGAGGAACACUCCUUACUCCUGGGACCAUGGAGGAAUAUGCUUACUGCUGGGACCAUGGAGGAAUGCUGCUACUGGUUUUCUCAUGAGAUCAGAUUCAGCCACUAUUCUUUAAUAAAAAUAAUUCCGAUGUAGAAAA